AUCGCCGGCCGUGGCUCCAAAGCCGUAGGGUCUGUGUGCGGAAAGUGCCACGUGUGAGUGUGUCGGAAAAUAAGAGACAAAACCUUCCCUUGACUACUGGGGAGGUGUUAUAUGUGGAGACUGGCAUAGGGAACAAAAGGGAGCUACUCUUGCAGGAGUGACAGAUAAGUUUCAGCUGAGUUUUGCGUGCUUCAUUUGUCAUGAAGAUUUCAUCUAACUUUUCCUUGAAGCAUAAUAAAUUCCAGAGACUCAAGACCUCAUCUAAAUCAAACUGGAAUCUGUAUUAAGCUCAGAGUAAUUUCCAUUGUAUUUAUGUUCUACUUAUUUUUCUUUUUUUAUUUUUAUUUUGCUGUCUGAAAUUAGCAUGUAUGGAACACCAAGCAUAGAGGACUAAGCUGUAUUCUACUCUUCAGGAUAUUUAGUAAAUGGAAAAAUAAAUGAAAGAAAAUGAAUCACAGAAUGAAUCUACAUGACUCUGGUAUAUCUGCAUACUUUACAGUACUGCAGGUUUAUAGCUGAGUUUCUGCAGAAUUAUUUCCUUCUACCUACAAGCUAAUAGACUACGACAGUGCUGAAAACUUCUGAGGAACCAAAAUUGGUAGGACAUGGGGAAGAAAAGUCUGAGGCAGGCACACUGGUGGAGAAUCUGUACAAAUAGUUCUGGCUGUGUACUGCUACGAAGUGCUUAAUAAUUCCCAUUCCAAAGAUUACUGUAUAAUAGUAGUGAGUGAGGUUGUUCAAUUGGAAAAUGCUUGGGAUUCUUUUGGAAGACAGAGUUAUGCAGAAAUGCACGGCACUGAGAUAUGGAUUCCUUUCCUUCAAUUUAUAUAACAAGAUGUUUCUUACUGAGUUUUUCAUAGGAUUAUGUAACAUGCCUUUCAAAACAAGAGCAUGAAGAGGUUUAUUGACAAGAAAACUAAAGAUUCAGCCUACAUUUAAUCUACACUUGUAGACUAACGUAUCACUCUUACCUGGCUUUUGUUUGACCUCAUAUGGUCUAUCAUUUAAGUCUUGGCUAUUACUUGUGGGCACUAUAUCUACCUGCUGAAAAAAUAGUUUUGUCAAACAAAAUCUGAAAUUGCCUUUAUGCAUGGCUUUUGUUUUUCAUCAAGACAUCACCUGUACUUCUGUGAAAUAUCCAUAAAAAUUAAAUUAUGAGAUACAUGCAGGCAGAAAAUUCCUGUUCAGAACAAAAAUCAUUAUUUAUAAUGAUAUAUAGCAAGUAAUUUUUUUAUGUAACAUCCUCUCGUUUCUAGAAUACUUUUGCAACUGAUGUUAUCCUCCUGAAUGCAGAGAAAAGCAGGCUAACAUUUGCUAUUGCCAGAUGCUUUGAGCUCUCUCAGAGGGCAUGUGGCAAACUGAAUGCAGGCUCCUGUUUGUUAAGAACUGAUUGGUGGUGUUUCCAAACCUGACCACAAAUGUGACAUCCAGUUAUGACCGGGUGAAAUGUUAGCUUUUCUAUACCAGUUUAUAUGGAGCAAAUGUAAUAUAAGAAGUUAAUAAAACUCACACUGUUAAAAUGCUUAUGAAAAUUAAAGACAUGCUUUUAAAAGGUUUUAGAGAUAGUGUGAAAAUACCAAGCAGUGGUAACGGUCGGCAACUACUGGAUAGAAGACUUUGGAAUCGUAAUGAUAGACAGAAUGUAAGUUAUAGGUACACCCAGUAAAGUGGCUGUAUGUUGAUCAUAUC